AUGUGCUGUGAUAGGUUUAAGCCACUUAAGAGUUAACAAGCUGGUAUACUAUAUAAGUGCCUCUGGAUGGCUAAUAAACGGAGCUUGCUUUUAUCAACCAUAUUGGUUGUUCUGCAAUGUCUUCCCCUGCCGCAGUCAUCAGACAUUUCCAACAGGCAGGCACUCUUCCCACUCGUCUGCUGGAGUCAGAGAGAUUGCAUCACAGUGACUGUCCCAACUGUAAGUGGAAAUAUAGGAUAAGAAAGAAAUAUAUUAGAGAACAGUUACCAUUGAAAAAGGAGUUCUGAAAACUCGUAAAAUAAAUAGGUCUAUUUUAACCCAGUUGUGAUGGGGUUAAAAAAGCCAAAAAAACUUCCAAUUUGUGUUCUUCUGGUUAGUGAAAGGCAGAGCUAUUCAAUAGAGGUCAAAAGUAGAGUAAUGUGCUGUACCUGAAAAGGAAAGUAGUAAAAUGUCUGUAUGGUAUUUUUGAUUGCUAUUUAUAUAAAUAAAAUAAUCACAUCCAAACAACCCAAUUAAAUGAAAUCAGUAAAAAAUGCUAGUUAAUGUAGAUCAUACUGGACCACCCUUAAAAAGACAUUAAAAAGGCAACAAGUCAGUUCUUCAGCCCCCAUUGGAAGUUAGCUACUUCCCCAGUACUCCUAAAGAACAAAUCAUAAUCCUACUAUCCUAAUGGAGACUUCUUCAGUUAAUAAAAUAGGUUCUGAUGUCUGGAGCUGUGUGAGUGAAGUAAUUAUGCCUGUUUAUAAUGGCUGCCACAUUUAUUAAAAGGAGUUGCAGUGCUAACAGCAUCUAAUUAAUUUCUCUGUGAAACACUGAGUUUCAUGACUUGAAAAAGUGUUAGCAAGACUAAUUUUUCUUUCUCGCAGUUUUUUUGACAAAUUGUUUAUGCCCUACCCAGAGCAAUCUUCACAGAAAAAGUUAUUUUUAUUACUAUUGUUUUAAAACCUAGGUGUUAAGGAUGUUACUUUAUUGCUUAAUGGAACAGUUCAGUAGGAAUAUAUAUCGCUGUGGCUGCGCUUUAUGUUUUUCAGAAGUUGCACAAAAGUUAACCGUAUCUUUUCAUGUUCACUUUCCUAAAAGCAGCGUCCUCCACUUAGUAAUCAAAUGUGAUACUUAGCUGCGUUCAGAGAAACUUAAAUGACAAAAUUCGUCAAUUAGGGUUUUACCCACUAGGGGGACCCAUUGUUAAGACUAAAAAGUGGGCUCUGACGUUGUGAGUAAAAACGGCAUGAUCAGGUUUUGUCAGGUAGAAUUUUUAUACCUGAAUCUUUUCUCUCUCUUGGUGCGCAUGCACACCAUAAAAAUCUGUGGGCCUCUUCCACCCAUACAACCGAAAUUUGCCAACUGAGAUGUAACUUCUAUGCAGCACAGAUAACUAUUUUGCAUGUAGAGAAGGCUUAUGUUUCUGUGUUUUGUCACCUUGCAGAUAUAUAAAAAUAGACAAAAAAUAUUUGACUGCUUGUGGUGUGCAGAAUUUGCUGAGAAAAUAUGUACUUAUUCAAAGAUAAGCUGGUAAUUUUAUUUGAUUUUAUUUCUGAAUGCAGGGGGAAGAUGUGUCCUUUUUUUGUUCUGACAUCCAGAUAGUACACUCAUGUCCUAAUUUUUUCCUGCCUCAAGCAGUCAUCCUGCUUUACUUUGGACUUUGCAACUCCAUGCCCUGCUCUUACAAAGGCUCCUUGCAAUAUCUUCUCAUGCCUGCAUUUCCCCCAUGCUGGACUCAGCUUUGUUCCAACUGUGCUUUCCAUCAUGUUGUCCUGCCUCCCUCCUGGCUCUAAGAUGGUCCAGUGAAGAGGAUCUGUGGCUGCCCCUGUCCCUUAACUCAUGAUCCUGUGAACUCAUGAACCCCUGUGCUAUGCCACUCCGCAGCAUCCCUUUCAGCUUCUGCAAGGACCUCGUGGCUUGUCUUGUCUCUGAUCCUUCCCCCCUCAUUUCACUAGCAUCAUCACAGCCCUUACCUUGCUUAGGUAGAUUAGUGAGGAGCAGACUUAUAAAAACCAGCAGUAAAAUGGUAUGGAAAUUUCUACAUACAGCAUUUCUUGGUCAGUGGUCACUUCACCUAGUGGUGUUACACCUUUUCUCCUCCUCCUAUGCCCAUCUGGGUGGGAGGCAGAGGAGGAAGGGCAUUUUCUUUUUAUUGUUCUCUUGUCUUUUGUCAAGAUGAAUUUGGCACCCAAAUUCUAAAAAGUUGAGGCAGCAUGUUUCUUAGAUGUGAAGUAAAAAUCAAUAUAAGUUAUUUCUGCCUGACUAAAGUUAUUUUAUUACUGUUUCUAAUGCUAUCACUAACUAUUCUUUUUCUCAGAAAGGAUGCAAAGCUUUAUUUAUCCUUGCUAUUUCACGUAUUUAUAAUUUUAAAUUCUUUCCCAGUUGUGAUGGGGAUGCAAUGCAGUAACAUUUCUUUUGUUUUUUAACAGCGAGGAUUUUGUAUUUAAAUAUGCUCAAAUGAGUGAAAAUGUAUUUUUGAAUUAGUAUUUACUGAAGUAAAAUUUUCUUCUCUUGCAUAAAAGACUGAUAAGCAACUGUGCUGUGUGACCAUUUAAAAAUGUAUUUCCAGCAAAGGGCCUUUUUGGUUCAGUUCAAUGGCCCUUUUUGACACGUUGUGCAGAGCACUGAGAUGAAAUAUUCAGGUCACAUCUGAGUAACUAAUGGAUCUGCAGCUUGAUUUCCACAGUGAAACACAGGUGCUGGGCAUCUCAGUCACCAAGGUCUUGGCCCUUGAACCUCAUGGACUUUCAAAUUCCUCUGCUACCACUGGAAAAUAAGUACCUGCACAUCCUUUGGAAGUGACUUUCACUUCCUAAAUCACAUAGUUUCUUUUGCAAUUAUUACACUUACCAUGUAUUGGAAUCUUGAUAUUCUACCUGUGUCAGACUUCCAGGUAUUUUUAUUUUACUAUGUAUUUAUUAUUCAUGUGAGUUUAAAAAGAGGAUAAAAACAAUUAAACUGCAGAAAAUUCAGUGUGGUUGUGAUAAAGUUGAAGGAUGAAUCUGCACCCACUUCUCCCCUAUUGAUAAUAAUGUGGCAUGCAGAGCUGUGUACAGGCAGCAACAGAGCUGAGCCUGAUGUUGGCCUUUCUGUGCUAGUCUUUGUGAAACCAGCACACCUAAUAAUUCCAAAUACAGGAUAGAAGGCAGGCAUUUCCCAGGCAUUUCUCUCUACUUCAGGUAGAUGAAAUAUGAUACAUAUCAGAAUCAUGGGCAAUUGCUAAUAUUUUGCAAAUGGAGUGGAAAUUAAAUGCAUAUAAGUUCUCUAGUCCUGAUGUGCUUGAUCUAUCCAGAGACCCGCCCCAGAGAGCUGCACUGGAGCGGUUGGAGAUGGAACACAGUGAGGGAGGUUUUGUUCUGGGUGCUGUGGGCAGCAUAUGCCAGCAGAAAGGAUGUUAUCUUCUUGCUGCCGUUGUACAGUCUGGUAUCUCAGUGCUCACCUAACUUUCUGUGGUGGAUUAAAUCAGAUAAGGUGCAAACUUACACUUCUACAUCUUUUGUUAAGGUAGCAUUUCUUUUUUUUUUUCACAGAGACAAAAGGGAUGUUGACAUCUGAAAUUGUGGAGUCUUUGCACCUACAAGGUAUUUGUCUGUUGAAACCUUUCAUUGUGCUAAUUAAAGGCUCAGCCAUAUUAAACUGGUAUCUAUAGACUUGCUUCUUCUUAAGGUCUGUGGAAGGCAGUUGAGCUGUUGCAUUUCCUGUUACAGUCCCACUGAGUACUGAAGAGGGCCUGGGGGCUCCCAAUGCUUGUAUCAUGGUAGUUUUAGGGGCCUUCCAUGGGAACCUUCUGCAGACAUCUAACAGUGAGUUCAUGGUGCUGCACUGAGAGCAUCAGUCUGGUCUGGGUUAGAACACAGGCUUCAAUGCAAAGAAAUGUGUUAAUUCAGAUUCUGUUCUAGGAAAAAAGAAAGGACAAUAUAUAUAAUCUAGUAGGAAAUUACUGUUUUUAAGCUGCUAUGAAGAUCUGUGAUCAAUAAGAAUAUGAGAUAGAAUAAAUGAGCUAUUAUGCCCCAAUGAUAAUAAUAGUUAUGACCUUGUAAUUUAGCACAGGCUCAUAGCAUUUAAUUUCUUGUUGUGUCUGAUUGCUAAAUGACCACCUAAAAAUGUGUAGUGGGUAGAUAUUUAUAUCAGAUUUCAUUUGUGAUCAUCAAAAGAUUACUUUUUAUUUUCUUUAGCAGAUGUAAAAAUCAAAAUAACCUAAAUGUGCUGCUAACCUAAUUUGAUUGCAGCUGGUAAACUGUGUGCUUUAAAAAAACCAGGAACUUGGUGGCUGCUUCUGAGUCUAUUUUUCUCUUCAGCUUUGGAAAGAAGUAUUUACAUGAACGGGUAAUGAUACUAAAAUUAAUAAACUAAGGAGGGACUGAAAGAAACUUGUGUGUUCUAAAAUUUAUUAAAAUGCAUUCUCUUCAUCUAGAAGUGAGUUGGUGCCAAAAGAGUGGUCUCAGACUCAUGUGGAAGAUUUGUUUCAUUAUUUAUUUGUUUGUUUGUUUGUUUGCAUAGCUUACAAAUCUCUGUGUAAAUAAACAAUACACCCUAAACCCAAACUAGCAAGGUCAACAGCACUGUUUACUAAGGCCAGAGGGUACAAUUAAAAAAACCCAAACCAACUAAUGCAAGUAAGAAUAUAAUUACUAUUAACUCUUAUUAUUUUUUUUGUAAACUGUUCUUGGUGUCUGACAGAUUCCUAUUCUUGUUUCAUAUUCUGAGACACAUAGUAAUAUGACUCCAGUAUCCCUUUUAAAUUGCCAUAAUGUUAAAUGCAGUUGGAAAUAACUACAAAGUUCAAUAAACUGUAGAAUUAUGUGAAAUUUGCUUUUUCCCCCAUGAAUACCUGUUUUUUCUGCUCAUUAGAAACAAACUUUUUGAAUUCUAAUUGGCAUCCUUCCUCAGAGCUUGAUCUAGGAGUGCAAAAUAGAUUUGCGUAUUUUGCUAUAAUUGCAUUUUAAAAUCCUAACUUAGAAAAGACAAACUAAUAUAGAUGGUGGGAAUUCAGUGAAAGGAAUCCAGAAAAUCUACCAGGAUCUACUAAUUUGCCAUUUAAUCUAAAUACAAAAUAUGCACAGCAGUUGUACAACUGUAUGUUUAUAUACAGAUCUCCAUUUUUGACUGAAAAGAGAGCUUUCUUAAUAUAGACUAAAGUGUGAUUUUGCUUGAAAAAGUGAAUUUGUAAACUCAGCGUAAUGUUUAUUGUCUUAAUGAUUUUUCAGAUUCCAGACUUGUAUGUACACUAGCACAGCAGCAUGUUUAUCCUAUCUAAAAGCUCAGUCUGAGGUCAGCAAGUCUAGCUACGUUCAAAGGCCAAAAUGAAUGCAUUAGUACAUCAGUGGGAAUGGUUGCAUAAUUCAACAUCUUAUCAAGUCACCACAUCAAUCCCAGGAUUGUGGUGGUGAGGACUAUAAAAAUGCUGUUGCCUUGUCUCCAAGUCUCUCCACCCUAUGUUGUGUUUUCCUGUCUUCCUCCCUUCUGUUUUCCACACAAAAGGGAGUUCACUGAAAUGCCUAGUUUGUUCCCAAACUACUAAACAUUGGAAGAAAGACUGGGAAAACAGCAAGACUUUCAAACGAAUGAGGUACUUAACUCAUCUUGUUGCUAACCUAAGGCUAGGCUCUGCUAAAGGAGUCAUUCAACAGUAGCACAUCCUUUUCCAUGUAGCCUUCCAGUGCCACCAGCUCUGUUCAUCCUGCAAGGCACUUUUUAGAUGGAUUUGCAGCAUUGCAGUCCCAUUCCUGGGGACAUGUAUGUCUGGGUAAAUGGGAGGAAUGUGUGUGCUUAAUACCUGAGGCAACCCUGAAGUCUUUGCUGACAAGUGUCUUCACAAGACAUGGAGAGCCCAUCUGUGUCUCCUGAUGCCACUCUUGAAUGCAAGUUGUUAACUGUGUUUGGUAAUGCUGUGGCUGUAAUGCACAAGUACACAGAACUUUUGUUGUCUGUAAACAUGGUACAAAAGAGCUUAUUCAGCCCCUGUGAAGGGGACCGUGCCCUACAGUCCUGGCACCACAUAACCCAAGGUAGCUCACCUGUGAAUGGAGCAGGUUCUAGAGCACUCGCUCACUACCAUUGGAGUCUUAGCUAGGAUAUAAAUGUCAAUUGCUUUUUUUUAAAUGCAUUUUGAAAGAAUGACAAGAUGCCGCUUCAGCAUUCUGUAAUGAGAUCAUUUGGUUUCAUCUAACAGGAGUUAAGCAUAACUCCGAGAAUGUCCUGCUGAACAUUUAUACAAACUGCUUUUCCAUCCUGCAAGGUUUUCUUGGAUUAAUAGCAGGAUUUUUGUUUUGUUGUUCUUUGGGGUUUUUUUAGGGUUUUUUUUAAUACCUUUCCUUCAGAAUGCUGCAAUAUUUGCACAGAAAUUAAGUUGUUGCUGAAAAACCAAACAGGCUGCCAUCCCUUUUUCUUUUCUGGGCUGAAGUCCAAUUUUACACAGCAGUUGCAGAGAAAAAGCAAACACAUCACUAGAUUCAGCAAGAAAUAUUGUAACAGUAUGUAAUCUCUGUCAAGAUAAAAUUGCCUUGUGAUUUACAUUACAAUAAAUCCUGACCUUUAAGUGCUGCAGGCUAAGCUAAUCUGUGAAGUACUUUAUUCUAUCACUGAAUCAGCAUGUGAAGCUAAAGCAAAGUGACUGUGUUUGUCCCACUGUGGUGCCACUGAAGAGCACGUAGGAAAGCAGAUUAUAGUGCACGGUGCCAUGUCCGUUGCAGCUGUGAUGUAACUGAAACGUAUACUGUGGAUUAAUAGAGUGACUUACUACUGCUGCAGGAAGUAAAAGUUAAUAUUUUUAUGAAUAAAGAGCAUAUAAUAUUUAAAUUGACAUAAAUCAAGACAUUUAGAAUUAAGCUCGAAAAUCUGGGCUGAUUUUCUAACAAUAAUUCUCAGAUCAUUUCCUCAUCUCUUGCUGCCCUCAUUAAUUUUAUUUUCAGUUUUUUUAAGGAUAACAACUUGUAUGUCAGCACAGAUAUUGCAACCUUAAUUCAAAUUUUUUGGCUUUUGUGUCUCAACGUGUUGUUUGAGUAUAAUCUUUAGUAGAUGUGUCACCUCUGGCACUUCAGUUAGUCUUCUCUUGUUCUUUUUUUGCAGGAAAAAAAAAAAACCCAGAUUGAAUAUUUCAGAUUCUUUAAUUUACCCAAUGGUCACUACCAGACAACAAAUAAUAUUCACCAGAUUGUGUAAGCAGGUCAAAUCAGGAGGAAAGAGAGGAGGCAAAUAGGAAACAUGCUGAAGAUAAAGAUGGACACUGACAUGCAAUAUUACAAAGAGGGAUAAGCACUUAAAAGCUGGAAGGACAAGUUAAAAGUGUUGUCAUGAGACAAGGAGCUGCAGAAGCUAAAUAUUCUAAACUGUAAUCAAUGGGAAGCUGUUUGGCAAUGUAAGAUUUGCAGUUUUGCACUUGCUGUGGUUCUGAAUAGAGGUCCUUGAAGAUAUUCUGAUUAUUUUUCCUUAAGACAAGUGUAGAAGGUGUCUAAGUCAGUGCUUUUGCAACAAAACCAUUUUCUGUAAAUACUUGCUUUUCAGUUUCAUUUUAAUUAGGUCAUAUUUUUGACAGAAAGUUUUGAAAUUGCUAGACUGAAUCAAUUUGACAAUUUUUUUGAAUUAAAAUAUCUCAGUUUAGCAGUGUAAACUAUUUCUUUGGAAGCUUAAGGUAUCUACAGCUCAAAAGCAGCUAAUAACAAAAUCGAAGUUUUAUAAGUUUUGGAAAGGGGAGAAUUUGAGAAAUUUCUCAGAUUUCAACUGUUGGUUUGUUCAUAUUGUUCCUUUGCUCUUGCCUUUGAUGGUUUGAACUGAUAUUUCACAGGUUUGACUGCCAUGUUGUUAGGGAUACAUCUACCUCCGGUGACCUUGAGCCUGCCUGUGGCAGUGGGGUUGAAAUAAGAUCUUUAAGGUCCCUUCCAACCCAAAUCAUUCUAUGUUUCUAUGAUUCUCUAGCUGUUCCUGUUCCUGAUAACAUCCACCUCUGAGACAGCAGCAGUGAUGCCCAGAUUAUAUUUAUACUGAAGGACAUGUCAAAGAGUGGCACUGGACUCUAACAGAUGCCAUAGGAAUAUUGUUUAUUCCAAACAGUUCAGAUAUACAUAUACUGUUAUAUUGUUCUGGAUGUUCCUCACCAGAAAAAAAAAAAAAAAAAAAAAAAAUUAACAGCUUGAUGCAGUGAAGAAAGAAGUGCAGAUAUUUUAACCAGAUGCUAACUGUCAUUGCUUCUUAAAGCCUUUAUCUGGUGAGACUCUUUGUCCUGUAAGUGCCUUCAUGGGAAAGCUAUCUCACCUGGGACCAGGUCAGGAUAUGUGUUAGCAGUCAGUUAGGCCAGCCAAGGAGUCAUCUGACCACAAAACUGGAAUAAGAAAGGAUGCGAUAUAGUGUUGUUUCAUGCUUCCAGUUGGUAGGGAGCUCCAGGCAUCAGAAAUGCAAAAGCUUAGGGAAAACCCUGUUUUCUUUGGGUCUUAACUCAUCUAGGGCUCUUCCAUUGGAAAGAAAAAAAAAGAUAAAAGGUCUUGUGAUGAGCAGUUCUACUGGGUUUGCUUAUUCCCCUCCCUUCCCUGUUCUGUGCUCAUUCACUACUCUUCCAUGGUCAGUGCAUCCAGUACCUCCAGGUGAAGGCUCCUCCUUCUAGGUUUGGCACCCAUUUUCCGAAUGAGUUUAUUUAGCAGUCUUCUCUUAACCCUGGUUGCCUAAACAAAAUGCAUAUCAUCACAUGAAAUGGGCUUGCAAAAUAGUUUUCUCAAAAUAAUAUAUUUCAAAGGCUAUCUGGAGAAAUGCUCAUGCCUGUCCAGUGGACAGGCAUGAGGAUUUACAUGAAGAUUUUACAGAAGCUUGUCCGGAGAUGUUCCUGGUGCUUCUGUUCAAUGAGACCUUAAAUAUUUAAUCAGGUCUUAAAAUGCAGGAGUCUAUCCAUUUACUUGAAGUUGGAGUGGGGGGUUUCCCCUUCCUUUUAAUUUGUAGUUUUUGCUCUCAAUUCCACAGCAGAUCUACUUUUUGAAAGAUCCCGGAUUUUUUAAAAAACACUUGUUUUCCAGCAAACAAAAUGCCAGAAUGUCAAAUGCAAAGUGUUUCUCCACAUUAUUUUAGAUUCCUUGGUCACCUUCAAGAGCUAGCUAAUGACAGCAUGCUGCAGACAGCUGGCCUCCUAAAUUACACCAUUGACUUCCUGUCUGUUCAUGUGGGUAUCAUUCUUGGACACAACCCCCCAACUGAGUCAUUUCUCACAAAAAGAAAAAAGAGUGUAGCUUUGUGAGACAGAGGAACCUUAAGUCCCUUUAAGAAGAAAGCAGUUAAUCUCAGCAAUGUGUUCACAAGGUUCAGAAAUCUAUCACUGGAAGGAAAAAGUUUUUUUUAGAGUUUUUUUCUUUUUUUUUUCCUCCCUCUCCAAGUUGCAAAUAGGUUUUUGGGUUUUUUUUCCAGGGAACAAAGGCCUGUCCAUGCAGUCAUAAAUUUACUCAUAUCAGUGGUGGUUUGGGAGGGUUUAACACAGAAGGCUUUAUUUUAUGCUGGCUGUGGCUGUCCCCAUGUGUGGUUUAGUGAAGUUGUAUCAAAGGCCAGCACUGCAAAUGUCAGUGGGUUUGUGAUUUUCACCCACAAGGCCACGCUGUGCUGCUUCUGUCACAGGCAGAGUGUCAUUGGCUUCAAAGGUGGGCUUUGAGUGCCCUACAGACAAUGAGGAGAAACUACCUCUUUGAGAGUAAACAUAAUCAAAAUAAAAUCUCUGGCACAUAAGAUGGGGACAUGAUCAGUAGGGAAGUGCCAGUUUCUCUACUGAAAUUUUCUGCUGUGUUAGUGCCCAUAGAGCCACACUAAUGAUGUCUACACAUAGCGUAAAUGUUCCCAAAGCACAGAAUUUUCUACCUAGCCAUUGCUGUGUUUGAUGAUGUUGAAAGUACAGGUCAUUCCUGAAAUUAUUCUUUCCAUCUACUCCCUGUGAAGGAAUGUGCUUUGCGUGGUGUGUGGUGGUCCUUCCUCCCUUCCCAACUUUCCAGGCUUGGCCCCAGGCUCUGCACCCCAGGAGUGUCACCCUUGUCUACAGCAGACCAACAACCAUGUGGUGGCAUUUUGGGUGGAUGGUUUUUGGGUUUUGUAGGCACUAGAGGAGUUGUAUCCUUGUGCAUUUCAGUCUGUUGGGCACACUUGGCUCCUUCCCCACCUCCUGCUCCAGGAGGGACAAGUUGUCACCAUGCUGCUGUCAGGAGAUGCGCCAAACCUUACCUCCAUGGGAUUGUGUUCCCUAUGAACCUCUGAAAUGCUUUCCCUGUCCCUUUCCUACAUCUUAAAAUGUAAGUGAGCAUCUGGAAUAAAUGUAAAGUCUUCUCAUCUA